rnacentral:rRNA from 1 species
AUUCCAGCUCCAAUAGCGUAUACUAAAGUUGUUGCAGUUAAAAAGCUCGUAGUUGAAUUUCUGGUCUUGGACAGCGGUCUGCCUCAAAAGAGGUACGCACCAUCUAUCCGAGUCCAUCCUCGGGGAAAACAUGUGUGUGAUUCAGUUCAUGUGCAUGGGAUCCUCGUCAUUUACUGUGAGCAAAAUAGAGUGUUCAAAGCAGGCUUAUGCCGUUGAAUAUUUUAGCAUGGAAUAAUAAGAUAAGACCUUGGUCUAUUUUGUUGGUUUGUACUCCAAGGUAAUGAUUAAUAGGGACAGUUGGGGGUAUUCGUAUUCAAUUGUCAGAGGUGAAAUUCUUGGAUUUAUUGAAGACGAACUACUGCGAAAGCAUUUACCAAGGAUGUUUUCAUUG